GGUUCUGUGGUGUAGUGGUUAUCACAUCUGCUUUACACGCAGAAUGUCCCCGGUUCGAUCCCGGGUGGAACCA
rfam:Stegodyphus mimosarum contig31240, whole genome shotgun sequence.